CGGGGUGUAGCGCAGCUUGGUAGCGCAUCUGCUUUGGGAGCAGAGGGUCGCAGGUUCAAAUCCUGUCACCCCGAC
rnacentral:tRNA from 2 species